AAAGCCCUAACAGCAUCCUGGGUGGCCCUUUGGGAGGCUGCUGCUGGAGUGGGGUGGGGGUCCUGGCCAGUGCCCAAAGCCUUCCCACAUUCUCCAGUGUUCUCCUAAGAACCUUCCUCCACGCUGCCAGCACUGAAAUGAAGAAGUCCCUGGAGAGCAUGGCGACACCAGCACGAACCUUCGGCUAUUAAUCAUCAAGGCAUACCCACCCGCCCACUGGGGUUGGGAUUUCAGCAUAGACUGUCAGAAGGGACAGGCCCCCAGCGGCUGCGCUUACUAGCAGAUCUGAGUUUCACAGAAGAAGUGCGAGCUGGGGCUCAGGCUCCCCACGCCUUGACCCUGCCAUCCCAGGUCACACACACACAGCUCAGCCAGGCGUUCCUAUUGCUCCCACAAAUCACCAAGCAUGAGCUCCCCAACAUGUCCUCAUCUGUCUCCUUGAAGCAGGUGACAUCCCGGUCAGCCCUGGGAGCCUGAAGGAGAAGCCUGCUCUCGGCCUGGGAGACUUCCACUCGACAAAUCUGUUUUUCCUGUGGGCCUGUUUGCCUUUGACACCACAUAUGUCCCGCAUCCAACCACGUGUCAGAGGUGGCUGUUUAAUGCCAGCCAAAGAAAACAAGCCUUCCCUCCGCCCUGCGCUAAAGGUGAGGUGACAGCUGGCAGAUGGUUAGUGACUCACCCCGGUGGACACCGACCCACAGACGCGUUUUGAGGGGCUGCCACCAAGGGCACAUAUCAAGCCACAGAUGGGAACCCGGGCUUGGCUGCUGGGCGAACAAUGAGGGAUUGCAACACCUUUUUAGCUAACCUCAGCUCUGCAGAAACAGGCACUCAGGGAGUGAGGUUUAGGGAAGUCAAACGCCCUCAGCGUUUUUCCCAGAACAGCUGGACAUGUCAGAAGACCCGAGUUCCAAUUUCACUCUCUUUCUUACUAGCUCUGUGACCUGAGGUGACUCACAGUAACUUCUCCGCACGUCGGUGCCUUCACCUGUGAAAAGGAGGUGGCCCCAGCGCUGCAGGGAUCUCGGGGCUGUGUCGAGUGAGCUCUCACCCCAGAGACGCUGGAACAUUUGGCAGGAUUCCCUCCGCAGCGGAGCUAACGCCCAGAGGCGGGAUCCCAGAGGGGCAGGACUGAAAGGAGAAGGGAAGGCAGGCCCAGGAGACCAGAUUCAUACUGGGGACUCAAGCACAGAGGGAUCCACUGGACAGACACCAGAUGAAUGAGCUGGGAGGUGCAGCUUCAGGAGCAAUCUGCAAGAGAUGCACUCAGAGCUCAAGAUGGACAGCAGCCUGGCCAACAGCUUCUCACUCUCUCUGGGCAACAGUCUUUCCCAAAUGAAUAGUGGACAGAACAAGGCUUUGAAGGCUGGAGUCCCAGACUGGAGCUCCGCCCGCCCGCCUCCUUCCCCGAGUCCUGAGAGCCUGAGACUGGUGAGUGAAUAAUGGACUUACUGCAUCCCAAGGGGCUCCUGGAAGUGCGUUCCUGCUGUUCUGAACAGGGACACCAGAGGCCUGAUCGCAUGAAACAGUGAAGAACAAAGGAAGGGCUUGAACUAACCUCCGUCCUUGUAGUGGAUGUGCAGGAAUCUGCACCCCAGUGCACGCUCCCUUCAGGAUGAAGGAACUUAUUUUUCCAGUGACCAGGAGCGUGGGCUGCCAGCCAGUCCCUCUCCUUUCCCUGGGGCAGCCAGCACCUAAUGACUGGUUGAUAGGGAGUUACAAAGGGACCAACUCUUCAGGCUGAGGUCCCUGUUGCAUCCACGUUGCCCAAUCGGCUUCCUGCACAGCACAUGACCUUGUUCCCAAGAGCACCUCCCACACACCCCUACAUGCAAAUCUUCAUCUCAGGAACUGUUUCCAGAGAACCUGACACAAGACAAACCAAUAUUUCAGAACUGUUAAUACAAAAAUUAGCCGGGCAUGGUGGCACAUUCCUGUAAUCCCAGCUACUCAGGAGG